rnacentral:lncRNA from 1 species
UGGCACAAGUCACGAGGUUCGCCGCCGUCACUCGUUCCCCACUCUCAACCCUAAUCCGAUCCAGAGGAUAGCACUGAAGCGAUGAGAAGUCCAUCAACGCCGCUACCGCAUCUAUCUCUCUGCUUCCCCACCGUCGCCACCACGUCACAAUGGACGCCGGAGGAAGCUCAUCGAGUUCACCAUAAGGUAACAAAUCACUAUCUCAUCCCGAACACAUCUAGCCUAAGAUCCACGGGAUCUAUCAAUGGUAUCAUGAGCCAAGUGGGCAUUAGAUGUGUUUUCGGAUGAAGAAUGUACAAGUAAAGUUUCCCCCCUCCCCGAUAUGAUCCCUACAAGAGGGCAAAGGACUAGAUGAAAAGCACAAGAACAAGCAAAAGGCAACCGGAUUCCUAUCCGGCAAAGAGCGCCGCCGCAAGGCCGCGCCUGUUCCUCUUGAUCCCCACACGCAUCGGCAAGCCGAGGUGUGGGGAAGAAGAACCUACCUCCGUGGAGGCAAAGUAUGGAUCUAGAUCCAACAUGAAAACGAAGAAAAGGAUUCGGAUCGGAUCCAAAACAGAGGAAAAACAAAGAAAUAAAUCGGAUCCGAUCCAAAAAAGGCAAAAAAAAGGGGAGGAAGGGAACAUGCAAACCAAGAAUAACAAAGAUUCCCACGGGGCAUAGGACUUCAUCACCAAAUCCCUCGACGGCGGCGCGCCCACCGCAAGGCGGACGCGCCACCGGCAAGGGGGGUAGCAACAAAGACGAUUUCCGCCCCGGUCAUGCUAGCACCCUCUUGAGACAAGAAAAGAAAAUCGAAGGGGCCGCAGCCGACGCUCGACGGCGGCGCACCCACCGCACGGUGUGUGCGCAGCCGGCGAGGGGAAGGCCACGACCCCGGCAUGGAACCGCCACGGGAAGGGGGUGGAGAGCAAGGCAUGCACGGCAUGGGACCCAUGGUCGCCGCGGCCGGCAGCCACCUCCAGCUCGCAAUUGGCUCGGCCACCCGGCAGCACGCGGUAUGGGGUCUUUUAGACCACCACGGCCCGUGGCCACAGGAGGCGAAGGGGGCGUCGAGAGGAAGAAACGGAGGGUACCCCGUUGGCCUCCCCCUCGGCAGGGCAGGCAACGCACGGCGCGGGGCCCCUCGGCAACCAUCGCCGGCCGCCGCUGUCCGGCCGUGUCGCAGAGAGGGGCUGCGGGAACAGGAGGAACGCUCGACGGGGCAUGAAGCCGCCGCUCGAGAUACAGCGAGGAGGCACAGCGACGCAGUGGGGGGGAAGUGAAAUUAGGGUUUUCCUCCCCGGCCGGCUCGCCCCUUUUGACCCCAUGAAAUGUCCGGUGGACCGUUGGAUCGCUACGGGCGGCUGGGAUCGCCCCAGAGUGAACCCUAGUAUGAAUCGGGCUUUGGGCCGCGAAGGGGGCAGGCCAGCCCAGGCCGAAUGCGAGCGAAGCCAGGGUGGCUCGGGCGGCCACAAGAGCUAGGGUGGCUCGGGCCGAAAGGCCCCAGGCCGGCUUGGCCGGCCCAGGCCGGCCCAUUUUUCUUUUUCUUAAGCAGUUUUAGUUUCCUGCUUAUUACAUGAAGGAAUAAUAGAUUUUCCUAGGCAUUUUUCCUAUGAAAAUUAUGUUUAAAAAACAGAAAUUAAAAAUGUCCAAAGUUUCUGCAAUUUAAUACAGAAUUGCAAAAUUAUUUUUCUGAAAAGAAAAAUAAAGGUAUUUUUGAAAAAUAAGUAGUUUUUCAGAAAAGGAAAAAUAGGUGAUCUUUAUAAAUUGAUUUAUAAAGUUCACCAAUUUUGUUUUAAUGACAGAAUUAAUUUUCUGCAUAGUUAAAAGGGCAUAUGAUUUUUAUAAAAGAGAUUAUAAAGUUCAUGAAUUUUUAAUUUAACAGAAUAUUUUUCUGUAAAGGUGCAUGAAUUUUAUAUUCACGUUUUUCCGCUGCAAAAUAAAUGUUUAAUCCUCCAAUUAAAUUGGAACCAACGGGAAAAUUUAAUUGGAAGAACUGUUAUUAGCAAAGUUUUUCCCUUGUGGGUGAAAUAAGAUUCAAACAGUUUCCGCUAUGACAAUAGAAUGAUGUUUGUUUUUCAAGUUAAAAUAUGGUAUUGUUGUUUUCUGACCAACGUUGAUGAUAACAAUAUUAUAAUUGUAUGAGUCAUCUUAUGUUCAAAGCUUAAAUCUUUGAUAAAUUUUGUAUCAAAGUGAUCAAUUUUCAGAGCACAGAUAAAGAAAUUCAUAUGGUUAAUGAUGAUGAUGAUUAUUUCUUAGCAAAGUUGUUCAAUAGAAAUACUAUCAUCACAUUGUUUAUGAGUUAUAUGCAUUAUUUCCAUUUCUGCCCAACGGUGAUAUGGAAUUAAUGCAGAAGAAUGAUGUUUUAUUCUAAUUCUGCCACAACGGUGAUUUAGAAUAUACAAAAAGGUUUUAAAAGGUUUAAUGUUCAUAAUUUUAACCAGACCAACGUAGGGUUAUUUUUUAUGCUCAUUAUUGUUUGUUUAUUAGCUAAGCUCUCUCAGACUAAAAGUUUUCUUUUCAUGCUUUCAUUCAUGAAAGCGAAUGUUUGGGUACUAGUGACCCGAAAGUUGGAAAAGAAAGGUCAUAACUUGAGGGAAUAUAUUCUCUCUAAAGAAUGGCUUCACAAGAAAAGAACUCUUGGAUAUUAAUUCAAGAAAAGAAAGAGAUAGAUCAUUGAGAGUCUUGGUUGACGAAUGUCUUUCAUGUACUCUCUAUGAAGAAGUCUCCUUUUUCAGUCAACAUGAUUGAAAUGAAACAAGCAACAUGCAUGUUUAAUUUGACCAACGUCGGAUCAAACAUGUGUGUCAAAUAUAAUUCAGAUUUAUUUCUGAAUAUGCAGUCAAAAGAGCCAAUUAUGGCAUUUAUGUCCCUUACAGGGAAUUAUCCGCAUGGCGGGAAAAGUCUAAGAAAAAUGCAUGCGUAACCGGGUAAAGUUGACAUUGUAUUAUGUCAACAAUCUGUGUAUGGCGGGAGAAAUUUUGGCAAAGGCCUUAUCCUGUAUGACACGAGAAAGUUAUGAUGACUCAUGUGCGGUUAACACGAGAAAGUUAUGAUGACUCAUGUGUGGUUAAUGUGUCCCACUAUGGGAGAAAAGUAUGUAGUAGCUAUUAAGCUUUCCUAGUAUCGACCGUACACCUUAUGUGUAACGAUCAUUAACCAAUCACUAAAUCCAGAAAGGAUAAAAGUAACAGACGAACCUAAAGACAAGAAUGAUAUGCAAGUGUGACUUGCAAAAGUGACAAUUAUAAAGAACUCUGUUGAGUUUGUGAAAUGAAAUGAAGAAAAAGUACUCCCAUACUAGUUAACUUAUAACUUCAUUCUACAUGAAGUGAUAAGAUGAAUGAGCUAGAUAAUCGAAGUUUCCUCAUCUCACAAGAGCUAUGAAUGGGUUUCGAAAUUGUGGCAGAAAAGUUCUUGCCACAUUUCGAGGGGGAGAAAGAGACAUGAAAUACAUUGUAGUGUAUUUCAUGACUCCUCUGUAUUUUAGAUGAUGUGAUGCAUAUUAUGCAUCUAAAGUGAUCCAUUAAUGAAGAAUGUGAUUGUCAAGGGGAGCACGACAGUCAUUAGAAUACGGUCAUUAUGAUACCCCUAAACAAAAGAAACAGUUGUAUUUCUGGAUCUUUUAUAGUUCCGAAAGCAUACUAAGGAAUACAAGAGUGGUGCUUAAAGUGCCAUAAAGAAGAAAGUUUAAAGAUACGCCAUUUCUUCAGUGAAGAUGGAGUAAUCUGGGGGAGCAUGUUGUAUGACCUAUACAACACCUGUUGUUAGCUCUACAAGGGAUCUUGUGAUACAGGUCCCUGUAAUACCUAUUGCCUUUUGGAAAUGGGUGACUAUAGAAUUAAUUUGGUUUUUGGCAAUGACAGAGCAACGACAACCCCAUAUGAAAGAAGUGCCAGUACUUGAGAUUUUGAUGGUCUCUAGGAAUGUGAAAAUAAGAUACUUGUGAUUACUAUAAAGUCUAUGUUAGUGAAAUUCCACCACUUGAAUUUCACUAACAUAGACUUUAUGAAGGGUCUACAAGGCAAAUGUGACUCCAAAAGAAAUAUGUAAAGGUGUAAAACAUGACUUAAAUCGAAAGAGUUUGCGCAAAGAAAAUGAGAGGACAAUUGCAUUCAUGCAAAGUUAUAGAAUGGGAAAUUCGUUUCCCAAUUCCCGUGCAUGUGGAUGAUGUCCUACUUGCUUGUGGUGAUGUCAAUUCUAGUGCAGGAGGAGAGAAGAAGUUCUUGUCCUCAGAGUUCAAAAGAAUAAAAGGGGGUAUUAGAAAUGUCGCAUGGACAUGCUAAGAAAGAUCUCUAAAGUAUGCACGCGAGAAAAACCUACGCAUGUUCUUAUAGUCAAGGGUAAUUGAACUGGAAACUAUGGUGUUCCAAAAGUUGAUAAGAAAAGAUUGUAAACGGAUAUGGUACCAUAUGCUUCAGUUGUUGGAAGCUCAAGAUAUUACCCUGACACAGUUCACGUAUAUAUCCGGGUUGUUUUGGCAAUGUCCAGUCCAUAGAUAAAUCAAUGGAAUGGAGUCAAAGAUAUCGGCCUCAAGCUGAAAGAAAUAAGUGCUCUCAAAAGAUUGUGAGUACAAAGACAGGACUUGUGAAAUGUAUAGCGAAAUCCAUAAUUGUCGCUAACUUUCAUACUCGGAGUUUUGUGUGGAAAAUCUUCAAAUGAGUGAAACGAUUGUCAUCAAUGUGAUGCAAUGAUAUGUUAUAGCUUGAUAUGAGGCUGAGGGACAGGCAAAAUGGUUAAGGCUACCUGUACCCGGAGUUGAUAAUGGUUGACAACAACGAUAACCAUUUUAUGUUCUUUCGCUCCCGUCACAACCAGUCAAGUGUUGAUGCCAAACACACUGACAAAGAGUUACGUGUUGUGAAGGAGAAAGUUCGGAAUUAUGGAAAAAUGCUUGAAGCAUAAAAGCAACAAACAAGUGUUUGCAGAUCUGCUUAUCAAAGGCUUACCGCCCAGUGUGUUCGGAGAACACACAGUCGACAUGGGUUUCAUGGUAUAGUCUAAUAUUUCCGGACAAUAAAGGGCCCAAGGUUAAAGAAUCUGUCUCAAAAUAGAGAGGUACAUUGUGGCUGUCUGAUUCCAUCGGCAAUUGAGCUGUGACGAUGAAACAUGCCCUAUGUAUUGAUCUGCUGCGAAACGAGUAAAGUUAAAAGCAUAUGAUGAGAUCAAGGGGGAGAAUGUUAGGUUGAUCUCUUGUUCAAUGGGCCCAACGGUCCGUUGGAACCUUGACCCACGCCCUGAUCGGGGGCGUCCAGCCCAAGCAAGGCUGGUGGGCCCCUGUCGCGCAGUGCUAUAAAGAGGAGGUGGGGACCAUGGCACAAGUCAUGAGGUUCGCCGCCGCCACUGGUUCCCCACUCUCAACCCUAAUCCGAUCCAGAGGGUAGCACUGAAGCGAUGGAAAGUCCAUCAACGCCGCUACCGCAUCUAUCUCUCUGCUUCCCCACCGUCGUCACCAUGUCACAAUGGACGCCGGAGGAAGCUCAUCGACUUCACCAUAAGGUAAUAAAUCACUAUCUCAUCCGGAACACAUCUAGCCUAAGAUCCACGGGAUCUAUCAUAUAUGACUUGUGAUGGAGUAGCCGCGAAACGCAUGAAUGAGACAUGCGGGCUAAGAGGAGAUGAAGGUAUAAAUCAGCAUAGGCCCUGUUUGGAUCCAUGGGCUAGAGUUAGUUUGAGCUAGUUUGGGUUCAACUAGCCCUAAAGUAUCCAAACAUAAGGGUUAGAUUGGAGCUAGUUGCAUCUAACCCAUCCAAAAAAACUAUCCCAUCCAAGAGGUGCCAAUUGGAGCUAGUUCUCGUGGGGUUCAUUAAAUUUUUUUUUUCUCUCUCUCUCCCACCAACCAAGAGAUGCUAAUUGGAGCUAGCUUUCAUGGGGCCCAUUAAAAAAUCACUUUUCUCUUUACAUAAAGCGCAUCUAUUGUCAAUCUAACCCUUCCAUCCAAACACCUAUUUAGCUAGAGUUAGUUUAGGAUUAGUCAUGAGCUAGAAACUAACUCUAACCACUAGCUAAGCUAAAGUAUCCAAACACGACCAUAGAUGAGGAGGCAUAAUAUAU